AAAUUAACCCUCCGCACGAGAGAUCCACCUUUAACUCCAGGAGUCCUCGUGAUCGCUUGUCUCUAGAUCUCAAUUCCGUAUAACCAAGAGCUAAUUGUAUCAAAGGAAAGGGGAAAAGGAAAGAGACGGCGGAGUGGAAAACGUUUCCACGCGUAACUCGAUCAACGUCAAGGUGUCCACCCAUGUUACCACCAGUCUACGACCAGUCUGACCACUUAUCGACAUCUGUAAAUGCACCUUGAACGGGUCCAACGACGACUUUAUCCAUCGUUGUUGAUUCACCGCCAGUUACCGAUAAAUUAACGCGGCGUAAACUUGACGCCUUAUCGCGCGCUCGCCACGCCCCUCUCCCUUUCUGUAACCGAAAUCGGCAGAUCGUGGGAUGGACGUGUGUUGCAACCGAUAACGAUAACGAUGCAUCGCCGACCAUGGUUGCGGAAAACGAUCGCCCACAGUUUUCGUUCGUGCAAAAUCCAUCGAAACGUAUAACGUGAAGUGAACGUAGAGCAUCGAUAAAUCGAAAGAUGGUCGAGAUGGCGCUCUCGGCCAAGUUCCGGGUGAAAUGAACGCUUUUUGCACUCGCGUAUCAGCCUUACCCAUAAAGCUUAAUUGCGAUUGAAGGUCUUCGAAUGCGUAACCCAGACACAUGGAUUAAGGCGCAACCGUAGAAGCAUACAAAGCGUUACAAAGCGCCGGUUACCGGUUUCAAGCGUUUAUUGAUGCAAUAACG